rnacentral:SRP_RNA from 1 species
GCCAGAUGCUGUGUUGUGUGCCUGUAGUCCCAGCUACUUGGGAGGCUGAGGCAGGAAGAUCUCUCGAGCCCAGGAGUUCUGGGCUGUAGUGCGCUAUGCCGAUCAAGUGUUCGCACUAAGUUCAGCAUCAAUAUGGUGACCUCCAGGGAGUGGAGGACCACCAGGUUGCCUAAGGGGGAGUGAACCAGCCCAGAUCAGAAACAGAGCACGUCAAAACUUCCGUGCUGAUCCAUAUUGGGAUCACGCCUGUGAACAGCCACUGCACUCCAGCCUGGGUGAUAUGGUUUGGCUGUGUCC